AGUGGGAUAGCUGGGUCAAGUGGUGGUUCCAUUUCCAAUUUUUCAAGAAAUCUUCAUACUGCUUUCCAGAUUGACUGAACCAAUUUGCAGUCCCAUGAGCAAU
rnacentral:pre_miRNA from 1 species